UUAGACUUUCUAGUCUUCUCUCUCUCUUGAAGCGUCCUUCUUCUUUUUCUUUCUGGUUGAAUUUGGAAUAAUUUCCAGGAUGUUUAAUCUAAGAGAAACUCUUGUAAACACGUCUUGCUAUAGUAAAUGAUAGAUAUGAGAUAUUGGCUAUCUGUUGUAGUUUGGCUUUUGAUAAAUUGAGAGAAGAGAGUUGUGUCCAAUUUGGAGAUCCUUUGAUGAACAAACUAAUUGUCUGCGUGGUUCUUUGUACUUUGUUCUCUUUGAAAAGUAGUUUGCACAUGGUGGAUUGGACUGAUCUUGAGCCCCCCAAAUUAAGUCUUUUUGGCCGAACUAGGUGAACAUUUUACUGUGUUCUUUACCUUUUUGCACUUUGUGUUUGGUUCGGUUUAUAUUGUUUGUGAUCUUUGGAUUAAAAUACCCAACAAGUCUGGUAUCAUAACCAUUUCUUAGAGCUUCUGGGUAAAAAUUUGUAUUCUGAAAAUAAGCAGUAUUCUUGAGGUGAUUGGAGACCUAAAAGGGUUUUGGUUUCACUGAAAUUUUUCUUUGAAAAUAUUUCUUUUUUUUAAAUUUGUGCAGAUCUAAACAAGUGUGUUAAAGUUACUCAUAAUUUUUCUUAAGUGUGAAGGUAAAGUGAUUUGGCAUUUUCUUUCUUGGCCGUUUGGGACGUUACCUAGAAGGAAAAAGGGUGUUCUUUGAAUUUAAUAGCUCUGUUGUUCAACAAUGCUGGGUGAGAUUGUUCUUGAACUUUCUCCGGAUAAUCCUGGUUUACAUAUUAACUUGUUCAUUGAUCUGUAGAUUAAUUGUUGUGCAUUGAGUACUCAGUGUUACAAAAUUAAUCUGACAUAGGAGCAUGUAUAGGAUUUAUCAUUCUGAAUCCGUUAUACUUGUUGUGUAAUCUUGCAUUAACAACACUGCGAUUGCUUGUGUUUACUGUAUUGAUUGUGCAAGUUAGGGUAGUUGAUUUCAUUCUGUAAUCAAUCUUUCUUUAAUUCUUUUAGGAACCAUUUUUCUGCACUUGAGUGAUCGCA
rnacentral:lncRNA from 1 species